GUGGGUAUAGCUUAAUGGUAGAGUGCAUGCUUAGCAACCAUGAGGUCCGGGGUUCAAUUCCUAGUACAUCUA
rnacentral:tRNA from 1 species